rnacentral:sRNA from 1 species
AGGCUCUGAAGCCAUUACAAAGGUUGCUUAACUUCAAUUAUUUGAUCACUGAGGAAAAUCCAGAAAGCUACACAACACUGAAGGGGUGAAAUCAAAGUCCAGCGAUCCAGCGAAAGAAAAGAGAAGUGACAGAAACAACUUUACCUGGACUGAAGAUAAAAGCACAGACAAGAGAACAAUGCCCUGGACAUGGCUCCAGAGAUCCACAUGACAGGCCCAAUGUGCCUCAUUGAGAACACUAACAGGGAACUGGUGGCGAAUCCAGAAGCUCUGAAGAUCCUGUCUGCCAUUACACAGCCUGUGGUGGUGGUGGCAAUUGUGGGCCUCUACCGCACAGGAAAAUCCUACCUGAUGAACAAGCUGGCUGGGAAGAAUAAGGGCUUCUCUCUGGGCUCCACAGUGAAAUCUCACACCAAAGGAAUCUGGAUGUGGUGUGUGCCUCACCCCAAGAAGCCAGAACACACCUUAGUCCUGCUUGACACUGAGGGCCUGGGAGAUGUAAAGAAGGGUGACAACCAGAAUGACUCCUGGAUCUUCGCCCUGGCCGUCCUCCUGAGCAGCACCUUCGUGUACAAUAGCAUGGGAACCAUCAACCAGCAGGCUAUGGACCAACUGUACUAUGUGACAGAGCUGACACAUCGAAUCCGAUCAAAAUCCUCACCUAAUGAGAAUGAGAAUGAGGAUUCAGCUGACUUUGUGAGCUUCUUCCCAGACUUUGUGUGGACACUGAGAGAUUUCUCCCUGGACUUGGAAGCAGAUGGACAACCCCUCACACCAGAUGAGUACCUGGAGUAUUCCCUGAAGCUAACACAAGGUAACAGGGACGUACCAUGGAUAAAUGAGGACGACAAAACACUAGAAAUUAUCAUUUUUUAGUUUACUAUUGAUAGUUUUCUCACAUUUACAGUUUUCUGUAUCUCUAGCUUGCUAUUCUUAAGAAUUAAUGCUUGCUAUUAGCAAUAGAAAAGGUUUUUUGAAAAAAGGAAAAAAGGAAUGAAUGCUUGCUGAAUAUCUAAAUUAAUAGAUUAGAUUUUAAAUUAUAUUCUCCUGUGUUCUAAAAUAAGUUUCUUUUUCUUUCAUUUUUUCCUAUUUUACAAUUUAGGUAAAUUUUAUCUCCUUAUGUAGGGUUCAUGAUUCUGUAUUUACCUGUAAAAUAUGAAGGACAAUGGAUAUUUACUUAAAGAACAUAGAUUGAACAUGAACAGUGUACUAGUCCAAAUGCUGGCGAACUGCAGCCUAAGACAAAUGAUGGCCAAUUCUGCCUGCCAGCUGUCUUUCUAAGGAGGUUUUUUGGGAAGAAUGCUAUGCCCAUUCAUUUACAUAUUGUCUAAAGCUGUUGUCAUGCUCCAAUAACAAAGUUGAGUACUUGGAAAAGAGACCACCUAGCCUGCAGAGCCUAAAAUAUUUACUAUUUGACCCUUUACGGAAACACUUAUAUUAGGCAAAUUUCUUUAUUAUGUUUCUCUAGGUACCAGUGAAAAAGAUAAAAAUUUUAAUCUGCCCCGACUCUGUAUCCAGAAGUUCUUCCCAAAGAAAAAAUGUUUUGUCUUCGAUCUGCCCAUUCACCGCAGGAAGCUUGCCCAGCUUGAGAAACUACAAGAUGAAGAGCUGGACCCUGAAUUUGUGCAACAAGUAGCAGACUUCUGUUCCUACAUCUUUAGCAAUUCCAAAACUAAAACUCUUUCAGGAGGCAUCAAGGUCAAUGGGCCUCGUCUAGAGAGCCUAGUGCUGACCUAUAUCGAUGCUAUCAGUAGAGGGGAUCUGCCCUGCAUGGAGAACGCAGUCCUGGCCUUGGCCCAGAUAGAGAACUCAGCCGCAGUGCAAAAGGCUAUUGCCCACUAUGACCAGCAGAUGGGCCAGAAGGUGCAGCUGCCCGCAGAAACCCUCCAGGAGCUGCUGGACCUGCACAGGGUUAGUGAGAGGGAGGCCACUGAAGUCUUUAUGAAGAACUCUUUCAAGGAUGUGGACCAUCUGUUUCAAAAGAAAUUAGCGGCCCAGCUAGACAAAAAGCGGGAUGACUUUUGUAAACAGAAUCAAGAAGCAUCAUCAGAUCGUUGCUCAGCUUUACUUCAGGUCAUUUUCAGUCCUCUAGAAGAAGAAGUGAAGGCGGGAAUUUAUUCGAAACCAGGGGGCUAUCGUCUCUUUAUUCAGAAGCUACAAGACCUGGAGAAAAAGUACUAUGAGGAACCAAGGAAGGGGAUACAGGCUGAAGAGAUUCUGCAGACAUACUUGAAAUCCAAGGAGUCUGUGACCGAUGCAAUUCUACAGACAGACCAGAUUCUCACAGAAAAGGAAAAGGAGAUUGAAGUGGAACGUGUAAAAGCUGAAUCUGCACAGGCUUCAGCAGAAAUGGUGGAGGAAAUGCAAAUAAAGUAUCAGCAGAUGAUGGAAGAGAAAGAGAAGAGUUAUCAAGAACAUGUGAAACAAUUGACUGAGAAGAUGGAGAGGGAGAGGGCCCAGUUGCUGGAAGAGCAAGAGAAGACCCUCACUAGUAAACUUCAGGAACAGGCCCGAGUACUAAAGGAGAGAUGCCAAGGUGAAAGUACCCAACUUCAAAAUGAGAUACAAAAGCUACAGAAGACCCUGAAAAAAAAAACCAAGAGAUAUAUGUCGCAUAAGCUAAAGAUCUAAACAAGAGAGCUUUUCUGUCACCCUAACCCAAGGCAUAACUGAAACAAUUUUAGAAUUUGGAACAAGUGUCACUAUAUUUGAUAAUAAUUAGAUCUUGCAUCAUAACACUAAAAGUUUACAAGAACAUGCAGUUCAAUGAUCAAAAUCAUGUUUUUUCCUUAAAAAGAUUGUAAAUUGUGCAACAAAGAUGCAUUUACCUCUGUACCAACAGAGGAGGGAUCAUGAGUUGCUGCCACUCAGAAGUUUAUUCUUCCAGAUGACCAGUGGAUACUGAGGAAAGUCUUAGGUAAAAAUCUUGGGACAUAUUUGGGCACUGGUUUGGCCAAGUGUACAAUGGGUCCCAAUAUCAGAAACAACCAUCCUAGCUUCCUAGGGAAGACAGUGUACAGUUCUCCAUUAUAUCAAGGCUACAAGGUCUAUGAGCAAUAAUGUGAUUUCUGGACAUUGCCCAUGGAUAAUUCUCACUGAUGGAUCUCAAGCUAAAGCAAACCAUCUUAUACAGAGACCUAGAAUCUUAUAUUUUCCAUAGGAAGGUAAAGAAAUCAUUAGCAAGAGUAGGAAUUGAAUCAUAAACAAAUUGGCUAAUGAAGAAAUCUUUUCUUUCUUGUUCAAUUCAUCUAGAUUAUAACCUUAAUGUGACACCUUAGACCUUUAGACAGUUGACCCUGAAUUAAAUAGUCACAUGGUAACAAUUAUGCACUGUGUAAUUUUAGUAAUGUAUAACAUGCAAUGAUGUACUUUAACUGAAGAUAGAGACUAUGUUAGAAAAUUGAACUAAUUUAAUUAUUUGAUUGUUUUAACCCUAAAGCAUAAGCUAGUCUUUUCCUGAUUCUUAAAGGUCAUACUUGAAAUCCUGCCAAUUUUCCCCAAAGGGAAUAUGGAAUUUUUUUGACUUUCUUUUGAGCAAUAAAAUAAUUGUCUUGCCAUUACUUAGUAUAUGUAGAUUUCAUCCCAAUUGUCAAACAUCCUAGGUAAGUGGUUGACAUUUCUUACAGCAAUUACAGAUUAUUUUUGAACUAGAAAUAAACUAAACUAGAAAUAAAAU